UUAGAGUUUGAUCCUGGCUCAGGAUGAACGCUAGCGGCAGGCUUAACACAUGCAAGUCGAGGGGCAGCAUGUCCAGCAAUGGAUGAUGGCGACCGGCGGAAGGGUGCGUAACGCGUGAGCAUCAUGCCCUAUACAGGGAGAUACACCAGGGAAACUUGGUCUAAUACCCCAUAGCAUUCAUUGAAGGCAUCUUUAAUGAAUUAAAGCUUCGGUGGUAUAGGAUUGGCUCGCGUGACAUUAGCCAGAUGGUGAGGUAACGGCUCACCAUAGCAAUGAUGUCUAGGGGUUUUGAGAGGAAGGCCCCCCACACUGGGACUGAGACACGGCCCAGACUCCUACGGGAGGCAGCAGUGAGGAAUAUUGGACAAUGGAUGGAAAUCUGAUCCAGCCAUGCCGCGUGCAGGAAGACGGCCUUAUGGGUUGUAAACUGCUUUUAUACGGGAGCAAUAAGGGUUACGAGUAAUCCGAUGAGAGUACUGUAUGAAUAAGGAUCGGCUAACUCCGUGCCAGCAGCCGCGGUAAUACGGAGGAUCCGAGCGUUAUCCGGAAUUAUUGGGUUUAAAGGGUGCGUAGGCGGCCAUUUAAGUCAGCGGUGAAAUUUUGCAGCUUAACUGUAACAGUGCCGUUGAUACUGUUUGGCUAGGAUUUGGUUGUAGUGUGCGGAAUGUGUGGUGUAGCGGUGAAGUGCUUAGAUAUCACACAGAACACCGAUUGCGAAGGCAGCACACUAAGUCAUUAUUGACGCUGAGGCACGAAAGUGUGGGGAUCAAAAAGGAUUAGAUACCCUGGUAGUCCACACUGUAAACGAUGAUAACUCGCUGUCGGCGAUACACAGUCGGUGGCCAAGCGAAAGCAUUAAGUUAUCCACCUGGGGAGUACGACCGCAAGGUUGAAACUCAAAGGAAUUGACGGGGGCCCGCACAAGCGGUGGAGCAUGUGGUUUAAUUCGAGGCAACGCGAAGAACCUUACCCGGUCUCGACAUCUGUGGAAUUCUUCAGAGAUGAGGGAGUGCCGGUUUACCGGAGCCACAAGACAGGUGCUGCAUGGCUGUCGUCAGCUCGUGUCGUGAGAUGUUGGGUUAAGUCCCGCAACGAGCGCAACCCCUGCUUUCAGUUACCAUCAUUAAGUUGAGGACUCUGGAAGGACCGCUGCGGUAACAACGCAGAGGAAGAUGGGGACGAUGUCAGGUCAUCAUGGUCCUUAUGACCGGGGCUACACACGUGCUACAAUGGCAAUUACAGAGGGAAGCGAAGUCGCAAGGCGGAGCGAAUCUCAUAAAAAUUGCCUCAGUUCGGAUUGAGGUCUGCAACUCGACCUCAUGAAGCUGGAAUCGCUAGUAAUCGCGCAACAUCAUGGCGCGGUGAAUACGUUCCCGGGCCUUGUACACACCGCCCGUCAAG
rnacentral:rRNA from 1 species